rnacentral:rRNA from 1 species
AGGGUUUGAUCAUGGCUCAGGAUGAACGCUGGCGGUAUGCUUUACACAUGCAAGUCGUACGAGAGUUUUUAACUCAAGUGGCGGACGGGUGAGUAACACGUAAGAAUUUGCCUCUAGGAGGGGGACAACAACUGGAAACGGUUGCUAAUACCCCAUAUGCUUUCGAGUGAAAUGGAUUUUUCCGCCUAGAGAGAAGCUUGCGGCUGAUUAGCUUGUUGGUGAGGUAAUGGCUUACCAAGUCGACGAUCUAUAGCUGGUCUGAGAGGAUGAUCAGCCACACUGGGACUGAGACACGGCCCAGACUCCUACGGGAGGCAGCAGUGGGGAAUAUUGGACAAUGGGCGAAAGCCUGAUCCAGCAAUGCCGCGUGAGUGAUGAAGGCCUUAGGGUUGUAAAGCUCUUUUACCAGGGAUGAUAAUGACAGUACCUGGAGAAUAAGCUCCGGCUAACUCCGUGCCAGCCGCCGCGGUAAUAC